rnacentral:rRNA from 1 species
AUUGAACGCUGGCGGCAUGCCUUACACAUGCAAGUCGAACGGCAGCACGGGAGCAAUCCUGGUGGCGAGUGGCGAACGGGUGAGUAAAGUAUCGGAACGUGCCCAGUCGUGGGGGAUAACGUAGCGAAAGUUACGCUAAUACCGCAUACGAUCUAUGGAUGAAAGCGGGGGAUCGCAAGACCUCGCGCGAUUGGAGCGGCCGAUAUCAGAUUAGGUAGUUGGUGGGGUAAAGGCUCACCAAGCCGACGAUCUGUAGCUGAUCUGAGAGGACGACCCGCCACACUGGGACUGAGACACGGCCCAGACUCCUACGGGAGGCAGCAGUGGGGAAUUUUGGACAAUGGGCGCAAGCCUGAUCCAGCCAUGCCGCGUGCAGGAUGAAGGCCUUCGGGUUGUAAACUGCUUUUGUACGGAACGAAAAGGUUUGACUUAAUACGUUGGACUCAUGACGGUACCGUAAGAAUAAGCACCGGCUAACUACGUGCCAGCCGCCGCAGUAA